GCCAGGUCACUGCGGUCAAUUGCUUCUGUUCUAUUAAAAUAUGUGAUAUCCGCGACUCGGGCACGAGCAAACACGGUAUUAUUGCUUAUUGGCUUGUGGAGUUUCUCCUCGCACGCCGUUCCCCGUCGCCAUGAGUUCUUCUAAGUACGCGGUUUUCGUUUGUCUUGUGAUUUUGACAUUGCCCUUCAACGGCGUGAACGGUGUACGGUGCAACGACUAUGCGUGUAGCGUUCAGUGCCAAAGCCAGUACGGUGACGUGGUAGAGAAUAUCCAAGGGGAAUGCGAACCCGGCAACAAUGAUUAUUGUCGGUGUUAUGGCACGCCUUUGAAAAAUCCACCGUUACCGCCAUCGUACCCCCCCAACGGUCGCGCCGAUCAGAUACAGGUCCGUUGAAAAAAACCGCUCAAGACGACAUCUUUUCUGUUCUCUAGUUCGCCCAGUAUAAGAGCUCAAAGAAGAUUUUGGCGUUUUAUUAGUUAUAAAAUUUUUAAAAAAUGUGUGUGUAAUACAAUACCUACUAAAUACUAUUAGAAAAAUAAUUACUACUUUCCAAUGUUUUGAAAUUGUGACAUUAAUUUUGAGAUUUUCUCGUUGAACUCUGGCAAAGAUGUUUAAGACCAUGUCUUUUGAGAAUGAAUAAAUAACGUUUUUUUAUUA